GAGGCAAAACAUAACCUAAAACUAAAAAGAUCUGCGGCUCUGUCUCCGUCUCUUGCUAGGCUACUUGCUUUUAAUGAUCUUCAUAUAAAUUUAAGAUUAUUUAUUUCUUUUGUAAAAGUUUUAUCUAUUCACAAAUUGUUUAUUUAAGUUGCUGGAUUUAUUUAUUUAAUAUUUGUAAGCUACAAGGUAACAUUACAAGAAGCAAUGACAGUUUUGAAUAAAUUGGGCUUUUCUCUGUUCAAAUCGUCACGUUCAUUCAUCAAACAAAAACUUUUAUAUAAUAAUCAAAUGAAUUUUCUCAGCUCCCAAGUUAUUUCCUCUAAAUUAGUUUGUGAUAACUUUGGUGAUCCUAAAGAAGUUAUAAAUCUACAGGAGGAAUCAUUAUCCAUGCCUGAAAACAAUGAGGUGUUGGUAAAGGUGGUGAUGGCUCCUGUAAACCCGGCCGACAUUAACAUGAUCCAGGGCGUGUAUCCAGUAAAAUUGCCGUUACCGCAAGCGGUGCCUGGCAACGAGGGCGUUGGCGUCGUGACGCACGUUGGCUGUGACGUCACUCAACUGAAACCCGGCGACCGCGUAGUGCCCGCUUCGCCCGCCCUCGGUAUGUGGCGCACACAUCUGCGCGUAAAAUCCGACCAACUCAUCAAGGUACGAGACGACGUGGACUUUGUGGACUUGGCCGGUAUCACAUCGAACCCGUGCACGGCGUACCGGCUGCUCAAGGACUUUGUGACGCUACAGGAGGGCGACGUGGUGAUCCAAAAUGGCGCGAACGGGGCGGCCGGUCAGAACGUGAUCCAGCUCUGCAAGGCGUGGCGUCUGCGCUCUGUCAACGUGGUGCGCGACAGACCUGACUUGGACCAGUUGAAGGACCAUCUCAUGCAGUUGGGGGCUACUCACGUCAUCACCGAGGAGGAAUUGAGAAAAUGGCAACUAGACAUAUCCAAACCGAAGCUGGCACUGAACUGCGUGGGCGGCAAGAACGCGCUGGAAGUGCUGCGAAAGCUAGACCAGGGCGGCGUGAUGGUGACGUACGGCGGCAUGUCACGUGAGCCGGUCACGGCGCCCACGGCGUCAUUCAUCUUCAAGGACUUGACGUUGCGGGGAUUCUGGAUGACGCGCUGGGCCGACCUCAACAAGAACUCCCCGGCCAGACGGGAGAUGCUGGACGAGCUGAUGUGCUACAUGCGUGACGGCCGGCUCAAGGCGCCGCAACACAAGCUGGUGUCGAUCGGCGAGUAUCGUGACGCGCUGGCCAACACUAUGAACCCGCGCGGCUUUGCCGGAUGCAAGUAUAUUUUUGAUAUGCGUGAAGAGGGAGAGAGGUGUUAGUGAUAUUUUUAGGUUGGGUGCAUAUUCUCAGUGCAGGUAAAUUAUUGAUAUGCGUGUAGAAGGAGAGAGGUGUUAGAGGAAGAUUCAAGUAAACUGCAUAUAUUAUUCUCGGUACCUAAAAGUGCAUUUUUGAUACGCGUUUGGGUUGAAACAUAUUGGAGCGGCAAAGGUAGAGUGUAUAAUUGGAAGUACAUUUUUGAUAUGCGUGUAGAAGAAGAGAGUUGUUAAUGAUAUAUUCAAGUUAGCUGGAUAUUUUCGGAGCAGGUACAUUUUUGAUCCUCUUUUGGGCCAAAACAUAUUGGAGCUGCGAAUGUAGAGUGUACCAGAGAAGGUUGUUGAGAAUGUUGAAAAGUAAUGCAUAAACAAAUGUGUCAAAACAUAGUGCAGCGAUGGAGGUAGAGUAGAAAGUAGAAGCGGAGCCUUUUUAGAUAGAUACCUUAUUUAAACACUCUUAGCUUCAUUCUCUGCCAUACUCUACCUCCACUAGGUUUUGAUCACACUAAGUCUUGAACACUAGGUUUUGUGAGUUGUGUUUGGUCAGUUGUAUUGUGAUUAGUUGAGUUAUUAAUAUUGUAGUUCUUGGUUAAGGAAAUUCACAUUGUGCACAUUUUUAAAAAUGUUUUUAUCAACAAAAUUCUAGUAAUUAUUUAUUAUUGAAUAACAAGUAUUUGAAUGAAAAACACAGUAGCUGGGCCAAAACGUCUUUAAGCAGCCUGCACACAGGGACAAUUGUCACUAGCUGCCGCGGGAAUGCGGAAUUGGGAAUAUACGAAACUGAAAUUGACAUUUGAGUUUCGAUGACAUCCGAAACUGACGUUUCCAAAAAUAGCUAGUGGCUAUUAUUGUCCCUCUGUCAAGAGUACUUCAAUUUAAUCCAAAGUAGGGCAUCACCUCGUCAGUUUUUCACUCCAAGAAUGAAUAACUGAUAGGCCUAUAUAAAUGAUAAUAUUAUUACUUUCAAAUUCGAUAAGCUGAGAGAGAAGCCAAAUUUGAACGGAUGCUAGUCCAGAUUAGUUAGUUGUGUAAUUUAGUCAAUUCAGUUGUAAUGCUAUACUUUAUAAUCCAAAUUACGCACUCUCUAAGGCCUCAUUAGACACUGAAAUACCUUUAAGGAGAAAUAUCUUUCGAUAGAAAAAUUCAGACCAUUUAUCGAUCAAAUUUUCGACCUUGUAAAACGGUUCAUAGACAUCAAUCCCCGUUUGUAUUGGUGAAUGUUACUAUACUUUUUGGCUUUUUUGUAAAUCAUUUUAUUUGUGGUGGAUUUGGUUUGAACCUUCAAUGUAGUUAUCAUAAAUUAUAUAUUAUAAAUUAGUUCUGUAUAUUCUGGAGAGGAAGACGAUUGUUUAUGAAAAACCAAUCUAGUGAUGUAUUCACAAACGUUACAACUAUUCAGUCUUAUCUCACUGUUUUCUAAAAAACUUUUCAGACUCAAACACUAAUCCUAGUUUAGUUUAUCUUCGAUUAUCAUUUUUGAUCAUGGAUGGUGGAUGAAACACUGAAUACAACUAUUGGACUUUCUAAUUGAAUAAAAAGUAUGUAGCUUGUAAGUUUUGUGAUAUAUUAUUUUUAAUCUAUCGUUACCCUCAUGAUAGUCACCUAUUAUGAAAUGUGAUGAACAAAAUAAAAGUUGAGUAUUCUUU